GAGGCUUUGGGUCAGCUGAUCCCCGAGCUCGGCUAAACUCGGCAAAACUCGGCCGGCAUCGUCUUCGUCGUCAUCUUCAGGUUUAACGGCGUGUCGGUGCAUUGCCGCCACCUACUGGUAGGAAGUGUGGCUCGAUCAGGCGCAACGAUGACGGCGACCGACCGGCGCACGCGUUAGCACCCCUGUAGCGCUCAAGAGGAGAAGAUGGCGUCUGUUGGUGGCGCAGAUGACGCGUUUGAGCCAAUCAGGAACAAGCUAUCACCGGGACGAAGGUCACGCACACACACACAGAUACACACAGGAAUACACACGGUUGUUUGCAUACGUGUCUGUUUUUACGUGCGAGUUUGCGUAAAUGCAUGCGGAUUUGUGUGCGUGUACACGUGUUUGUGUGCGUGUGAGUGCGCACGAAUACGUUUACGUGUGAGUACAUAUACAUACAUACAUAUAUAUAUAUAUAUAUAUAUAUAUAUAUAUAUACACAAACCUUUCAAUGAGGUUUUCUGUGUGUAUGUGCCCGUGUAUGUCCAUGUCCAUGCGUGCGUGUGCGAAAGGUCAGGCAAGUGAGUAAACAUUGGCGCGUCUCUGUGGUGAAAAAAGAAAAAAGGUUUUAUUGUCAUCCUCAAUAAAACUUUACGGCGGCCAGGGGAAGCUCCUCCAACCUUGGUAGCGCGUUAGCCAGUGUGGGGGCAACAUCCAAACGGCGGCAACACGGCAAGCGCCGCGCAAACAUUCGUGCUGCCGCGACUUUCCCCUUUUAAAACACGACGACAAGGCCGCAGAUCAAGAUGGCUGCUCACCUCUGUUACACGCACACAAAUGCGAGGCAGAUUUAAAAGCAAUGAAACAAAAAGUCAAGAUAGGCACUCAUCUCUGUCAGUGUGCACACACACGCACACACGAUAGCGAGAUAUGACGAGGCAAAAUGGAGAAAAGGACAAAGGUCUUACACACACACACACACACACACACACACAAAGUGCUUGUUGAGGUGUGGCGUCCAAAGAGCAAACACAAUGAAGGAUCCUGCUAUCAGUGCAUUUGUGCGCGUGUGUGAGGUCAUGUGACUGGCUGCGAAUGGAAAAAUGAGAAAAGAAGAAAACGUGAAAAAGAAGUGCAGACGUGUUUGAAGAAAAUCACAAUUAUUUUCAAGAUUAGCAUCCCUUGAUUGAUAGCGGCCUUUCACACCUACCAGGGGACCAAUCGGGAAGAGUCAA